rnacentral:lncRNA from 1 species
UCAGAAUAUUCUACACGGAAGAGAAAGAUUAAUCUGUUCAAAUAUUGAGAUUCAUAUAAGUGAUACAUGGUCACCGAUCAACAUCAUAAUCACCUAUUAAAAAGAAAGACAAUGAUAAUAAGACAGGGUUUGAAAAACUUUUAAUCACGGGCAUUUUGACAAUAAAAAAAAGGGAAUUACAGUAAACUAUAAGUAGAAGGUUUCGCUUUCGGAAGGGAAAAAAUAGUAGACCUAAUAAUUGAUUGUUUAAUGGCUGUAGUGGUGCUACAUGUGUGAUAGGUCUUGUUGUCUCGAUUCGGGUUUUAUUGUGUUUCAACAACAACUACCG